rnacentral:rRNA from 1 species
AUUGAACGCUGGCGGCAUGCCUUACACAUGCAAGUCGAACGGCAGCACGGGUGCUUGCACCUGGUGGCGAGUGGCGAACGGGUGAGUAAUACAUCGGAACGUACCUUAUCGUGGGGGAUAACGCAGCGAAAGCUGUGCUAAUACCGCAUGCGCCCUGAGGGGGAAAGCGGGGGAUCGCAAGACCUCGCGCGAUUAGAGCGGCCGAUGCCUGAUUAGCUUGUUGGUGGGGUAAAAGCCCACCAAGGCGACGAUCAGUAGCUGGUCUGAGAGGACGAUCAGCCACACUGGGACUGAGACACGGCCCAGACUCCUACGGGAGGCAGCAUUGGGGAAUUUUGGACAAUGGGGGCAACCCUGAUCCAGCAAUGCCGCGUGAGUGAAGAAGGCCUUCGGGUUGUAAAGCUCUUUUGUCAGGGAAGAAACACCGGCUCUAACACAGUCCGGGAAUGACGGUACCUGAAGAAUAAGCACCGGCUAACUACGUGCCAGCAGCCGCCGUAU